rnacentral:misc_RNA from 1 species
UACAGAGGCCCCGAGCGUUAAUCGGAAUUACUGGGCGUAAAGCGCACGCAGGCGGUCUGUCACGUCGGAUGUGAAAUCCCCGGGCUCAACCUGGAACUGCAUCCGAAACUGGCAGGCUAGAGUCUUGUAGAGGGGGGUAGAAUUCCAGGUGUAGCGGUGAAAUGCGUAGAGAUCUGGAGGAAUACCGGUGGCGAAGGCGGCCCCCUGGACAAAGACUGACGCCCAGGUGCGAAAGCGUGAGGAGCAAACAGG